UACGAAGGGGGGCUAGCGUUGUUCGGAAUUACUGGGCGUAAAGCGUGCGCAGGCGGCUUCUCAAGUCAGGGGUGAAAGCCCAGAGCUCAACUCUGGAAUUGCCUUUGAGACUGAGUGGCUUUGAGUACGAGAGAGGUGAGUGGAAUUCCCAGUGUAGAGGUGAAAUUCGUAGAUAUUGGGAAGAACACCGGUGGCGAAGGCGGCUCACUGGCUCGUAACUGACGCUCAUGCACGACAGCGUGGGGGAUCAAACAGG
rnacentral:rRNA from 1 species